rnacentral:rRNA from 1 species
GACGAACGCUGGCGGCGUGCUUAACACAUGCAAGUCGAACGGAAAGGCCCUGCUUUUGUGGGGUGCUCGAGUGGCGAACGGGUGAGUAACACGUGAGUAACCUGCCCUUGACUUUGGGAUAACUUCAGGAAACUGGGGCUAAUACCGGAUAGGAGCUCCUGCUGCAUGGUGGGGGUUGGAAAGUUUCGGCGGUUGGGGAUGGACUCGCGGCUUAUCAGCUUGUUGGUGGGGUAGUGGCUUACCAAGGCUUUGACGGGUAGCCGGCCUGAGAGGGUGACCGGCCACAUUGGGACUGAGAUACGGACCAGACUGCUACGGGAGGCAGCAGUGGGAAAUAUUGCACAAUGGGCGGAAGCCUGAUGCAGCAACGCCGCGUGCGGGAUGACGGCCUUCGGGUUGUAAACCGCUUUCGCCUGUGACGAAGCGUGAGUGACGGUAAUGGGUAAAGAAGCACCGGCUAACUACGUG